rnacentral:tRNA from 1 species
UGUUCUGUGGCUUAGUUGCUUAAAGCACCUUUCUAGUGAAUGCUGAGUCGUGGGUUCGAAUGCCACCAGAACAC